AGGCCGCUCUCCCGUCCCCAAACUGCAGAAGAGAAAGGGCGACGCGCCCGGCGGUAGCCAAUGAAUCAGGCUGGAGCCCCUCCGCGCCGGGCGUGUGGAUGCAGACCUUGACACCAAGAGGACAUCUAACUGCCGGGGACGGCCUGGAAGGGCGGACACUUUGGCGGCGCCUUUCCCUUUAUUUCUCGAGGGGUCUCGGGCAUCUCUAUUCACUGCUGUCUGCUACUCAAGGUCCUCAGAACAGAAGACAUUCGGAUUGAUUUCUUGACUACAGACACCCAAAUAUGAUGCAUUUCAAAAGUGGCCUCGAGUUAACGGAGCUGCAGAACAUGACGGUGCCCGAGGAUGACAAUGUCAGCAACGACUCUAAUGACUUCACGGAAGUGGAGAACGGCCAGAUAAAUAGCAAGUUCAUCUCUGAUCGGGAGAGUAGGAGGAGUCUCACGAACAGCCAUCUGGAGAAAAGGAAAUGCGACGAGUAUUGCAGAACACUGGCGCGAUGCUGAGCUACCUCUUCAUAGUGAAAAAUGAACUUCCUUCAGCCAUAAAAUCCCUCAUGGGAGAGGAGGAGACAUUUUCAGCCUGGUACGUCGAUGGCCGAGUGUUGGUGGUGAUGGUAACCUUUGGCAUAAUUCUCCCGCUGUGUCUCUUGAAGAACCUGGGUGAGCAAAGAAAGAUCUGGCCUUUGUCACAGGCAGUCCAGUCCCCAAUGAGUCAGAAAUGGAAAAUGGACAGCUUUGCUUUUGUUCAUUAAGAGAGACCAAAUAAACCAUAAACUGGAAGUGUUAGUGAGGGCUGAUGUUAACAUGAUAUUGAGAACACAGUGCAGACUCUGAGAAGCCUUUUUACUGAGCUGGAGAUGGGAGGGAGGAGGUUCUGGAACCAGAGUUGACAUUUGAUAUUUUCAGUAGCACAACUUACAGUCUUCUAUAAAAAAAAAAAAAAAAGU
rnacentral:lncRNA from 1 species